GAUGAACGCUAGCGACAGGCCUAACACAUGCAAGUCGAGGGGCAGCACGGUGUAGCAAUACACGGGUGGCGACCGGCGCACGGGUGAGUAACGCGUAUGCAACCUGCCUACUACAAGGGGAUAACCCGUUGAAAGACGGACUAAUACCCUAUAACACAGGGAAUCCGCAUGGAUAUAUUUGUUAAAGAUUUAUCGGUAGUAGAUGGGCAUGCGUUCCAUUAGCUUGUUGGUGAGGUAACGGCUCACCAAGGCAACGAUGGAUAGGGGAACUGAGAGGUUGAUCCCCCACACUGGAACUGAGACACGGUCCAGACUCCUACGGGAGGCAGCAGUGAGGAAUAUUGGUCAAUGGACGAGAGUCUGAACCAGCCAAGUCGCGUGAAGGAAGACGGCCCUACGGGUUGUAAACUUCUUUUGUAAGGGAAUAAAUAGUCUUACGCGCUAAGACGUUGCAGGUACCUUACGAAUAAGGAUCGGCUAACUCCGUGCCAGCAGCCGCGGUAAACACGAG
rnacentral:rRNA from 1 species